ACCUCAUCCAGAGGGGCUGAGGGAUACGGCCCGAUGACGCCCCGGCAACCACCCGCGCGCUCGACGACGAGCGACGCCGGCAGGUGCCAAUUCCGUCCCCGCCGCACAAGGCGAUGCGGGGGAAGAUGAGAG
rnacentral:ncRNA from 2 species